CCUACGGGAGGCAGCAGUGAGGAAUAUUGGUCAAUGGACGAGAGUCUGAACCAGCCAAGUAGCGUGAAGGAUGACUGCCCUAUGGGUUGUAAACUUCUUUUAUAUGGGAAUAAAAUGUUCCACGUGUGGGCUUUUGUAUGUACCCUAUGAAUAAGGAUCGGCUAACUCCGUGCCAGCAGCCGCGGUAAUACGGAGGAUCCGAGCGUUAUCCGGAUUUAUUGGGUUUAAAGGGAGCGUAGGUGGAUUGUUAAGUCAGUUGUGAAAGUUUGCGGCUCAACCGUAAAAUGGCAGUUGAAACUGGCAGUCUUGAGUACAGUAGAGGUGGGCGGAAGUCGUGGUGUAGCGGUGAAAUGCUUAGAUAUCACGAAGAACUCCGAUUGCGAAGGCAGCUCACUGGACUGCAACUGACACUGAGGCUCGAAAGUGUGGGUAUCAAACAGGAUUAGAUACCCUUGUAGUC
rnacentral:rRNA from 1 species